rnacentral:rRNA from 1 species
UACGGAGGAGGCAAGCGUUAUCCGGAAUUAUUGGGCGUAAAGCGUCCGCAGGUGGCACUUCAAGUCUGUCGUCAAAGACUGGGGCUUAACCCUGGAAAGGCGGUGGAAACUGAAGCGCUAGAGUGCAGUAGGGGUAGAGGUAAUUCCCGGUGUAGCGGUGAAAUGCGUAGAGCUCGGGAAGAACAUCGGUGGCGAAAGCGCUCUGCUGGACUGCAACUGACACUCAGGGACGAAAGCUAGGGGAGCGAAUGGG